rnacentral:rRNA from 1 species
UAGGGAAUCUUCCACAAUGGACGCAAGUCUGAUGGAGCAACGCCGCGUGAGUGAAGAAGGUUUUCGGAUCGUAAAGCUCUGUUGUUGGUGAAGAAGGAUAGAGGCAGUAACUGGUCUUUAUUUGACGGUAAUCAACCAGAAAGUCACGGCUAACUACGUGCCAGCAGCCGCGGUAAUACGUAGGUGGCAAGCGUUGUCCGGAUUUAUUGGGCGUAAAGCGAGCGCAGGCGGAAUGAUAAGUCUGAUGUGAAAGCCCACGGCUCAACGGAGGAACUGCAUCGGAAACUGUCAUUCUUGAGUGCAGAAGAGGAGAGUGGAAUUCCAUGUGUAGCGGUGGAAUGCGUAGAUAUAUGGAAGAACACCAGUGGCGAAGGCGGCUCUCUGGUCUGCAACUGACGCUGAGGCUCGAAAGGAUGGGUAGCGAACAGG